GAUAUUCGACGUCAUAAACACGAUCAACUUUGGUGUUUAUGACGUCGAUAUUCGACAUCAUAAACACGAUCAACUUAGGUGUUUAUGAUGUCGAUAUACGACGUCAUAAACAGGAUCAACUUAGGUGUUUAUGACGUCGAUAUUCGACGUCAUAAACGCGAUCAACUUUGGUGUUUAUGACGUCGACGUCAUAAACACGAUCAACUUUGGUGUUUAUGACGUCGAUAUUC
rnacentral:miRNA from 1 species